rnacentral:rRNA from 1 species
GACGAACGCUGGCGGCGCGCUUAAUACAUGCAAGUCGAGCGAGAACCAGGGCUUCGGCCCUGGGGACAGCGGCGAACGGGUGAGUAACACGUGGGUAAUCAACCCCCGACACCGGGAUAGCCCAGGGAAACUUGGAUUAAUACCGGAUGCCCCAUCUGGCUUUCGAGCCGGCUGGAAAAGGGUAGCUUCGGCCUCCGGUCGGGGACGAGCCCGCGGCGGAUUAGCUUGUUGGUGAGGUAAAGGCUCACCAAGGCGACGAUCCGUAGCUGGUCUGAGAGGACGAUCAGCCACACUGGGACUGAGACACGGCCCAGACUCCUACGGGAGGCAGCAGUAGGGAAUCUUGCGCAAUGGGCGAAAGCCUGACGCAGCGACGCCGCGUGAGGGAAGAAGGCCUUCGGGUUGUAAACCUCUUUCAGGAGGGACGAAGCCACUCGGGUUAAUAGCCUAGAGGGUGACGGUACCUCCAGAAGAAGCCCCGGCUAACUACGUGCCAGCCGCCGCAGUAAUAC